AUGAGGCGCAAGCCUGAUGGAGCACGCCGCGUGAGUGAGGAAGGCUUUCGGGUCGUAAAGCUCUGUUGCCAGGGAAGAAUAAGGGUGUGUUAACUGCACAUUCGAUGACGGUACCUGAGAAGAAAGCCCCGGCUAACUACGUGCCAGCAGCCGCGGUAAUACGUAGGGGGCAAGCGUUGUCCGGAAUUAUUGGGCGUAAAGCGCGCGCAGGCGGUUCUUUAAGUCUGGUGUCUAAGUGCGGGGCUCAACCCCGUGAUGCACUGGAAACUGGGGAACUUGAGUGCAGAAGAGGAGAGCGGAAUUCCACGUGUAGCGGUGAAAUGCGUAGAGAUGUGGAGGAACACCAGUGGCGAAGGCGGCUCUCUGGACUGUAACUGACGCUGAGGCGCGAAAGCGUGGGGAGCAAACAGGAUUAGAUACCCUGGUAGUCCACGCUGUAAACGAUGAGUGCUAGGUGUUGGGGGUAUCAUGCCCUCGGUGCCGAAGUUAACACAUUAAGCACUCCGCCUGGGAGUACGG
rnacentral:rRNA from 1 species